rnacentral:rRNA from 1 species
GGCGUAGGCGGUUUUUCAAGUCGAUUGUGAAAUCUCCCGGCUUAACUGGGAGAGGCCAGUCGAUACUGUUAAACUAGAGGGCAGCAGGGGGAGGUGGAAUUCCCGGUGUAGUGGUGAAAUGUGUAGAUAUCGGGAGGAACACCAGUGGCGAAGGCGGCCUCCUAGGCUGUUACUAACGCUGAGGCCCGAAAGCGUGGGGAGCAAACAGGAUUAGAUACCCUGGUAGUCC